UACGUAGGGGCCUAGCGUUGUCCGGAUUCAUUGGCGUAAAGCGCGCGCAGGUGGUGCGGUAAGUCUGUCGUGAAAUCUCCCGGCUCAACUGGGAGGGUGCGGUGGAGACUGCCGGACUGGAGGCACUCAGAGGCCGGUGGAAUUCCCGGUGUAGUGGUGAAAUGCGUAGAGAUCGGGAGGAACACCAGUGGCGAAGGCGGCCGGCUGGGGGUGACCUGACGCUGAGGCGCGAAAGCGUGGGGAGCGAACCGG
rnacentral:rRNA from 1 species